rnacentral:rRNA from 1 species
GAGGAAAAGGAACCAACAGGGAUUGCCCCAGUAACGGCGAGUGAAGCGGCAACAGCUCAAAUUUGAAAUCUGGCCCCCAGGGUCCGAGUUGUAAUUUGCAGAGGAUGAUUUUGGCGAGGUGCCUUCCGAGUUCCCUGGAACGGGACGCCACAGAGGGUGAGAGCCCCGUCUGGUUGGACGCCGAGCCUAUGUAAAUCUCCUUCGACGAGUCGAGUAGUUUGGGAAUGCUGCUCUAAAUGGGAGGUAUAUGUCUUCUAAAGCUAAAUAUUGGCCAGAGACCGAUAGCGCACAAGUAGAGUGAUCGAAAGAUGAAAAGCACUUUGAAAAGAGGGUUAAAUAGUACGUGAAAUUGUUGAAAGGGAAGCGCUCAUGACCAGACUUGGGCCCGGUGAAUCAUCCAGCGUUCUCGCUGGUGCACUUUGCCGGGCACAGGCCAGCAUCAGUUUGCCCCGGGGGAUAAAGGCUUUGGGAAUGUGGCUCCUCCGGGAGUGUUAUAGCCCAUUGCAUAAUAUCCUGGGGCGGACUGAGGUUCGCGC